AUUGAACGCUGGCGGCAGGCCUAACACAUGCAAGUCGAGCGGAGCGGCAGACGGGUGAGUAAUGCUAAGGAAUCUGCCUGGUCGCGGGGGAUAACGUCCGGAAACGGGCGCUAAUACCGCAUCCUAUCAGAUGAGCCUAGGUCGGAUUAGCUAGUGGGGGGGGUAAAGGCCUACCAAGGCGACGAUCCGUAACUGGUCUGAGAGGAUGAUCAGUCACACGGGAACUGAGACACGGCCCAGACUCCUACGGGAGGCAGCAGUGGGGAAUAUUGGACAAUGGGCGAAAGCCUGAUGCAGCCAUGCCGCGUGUGUGAAGAAGGUCUUCGGGUUGUAAAGCACUUUAAGUUGGGAGGCGUUACCAGCAGAAUAAGCACCGGCUAACUUCGUGCCAGCCGCCGCGGUAAUUC
rnacentral:rRNA from 1 species